GAGAGGUGGCUGAGUGGCCAAAGGCACCUGACUCGAAAUCAGGCGAACGUUCUAAGCGUUCCGUGGGUUCGAAUCCCACCCUCUCC
rnacentral:tRNA from 1 species